rnacentral:lncRNA from 1 species
CAUAUUUCUGUACAUAGGCAAGAUUACCAUUCCGACUCAACUUGAAAACCUCCAAACCAUUCAAAAGAGCAUCAGUGCCUGCAGAACCAGUUGUUGUAUCGGGACCAAGUUGCACCCAAAGGCUGCUGCUUUUCGACGGCAUCACAUCAAAGUAAUCCUCAUGGUACGCCUUGUUCAUUCCCCCAGCUCGUGAGAAAAUGUCGUAGUUGUCAGCAGCAGUUUUGUUAUUUAUAUAGAUUUUGAUUGCUGCUUUUCGACGGCAUCACGUCAAAGUAAUCCUCAUGGUAUGCCUUGUUCAUUCCUCUAGCUCGUGAGAAAAUGUCAUAGUUGUCAGCAGCAGUUUUGUUAUUUAUAUAGAUU